GGGGCCAUAGCUCAGCUGGGAGAGCGCGGCGCUGGCAGCGCCGAGGUCGGGAGUUCGAGCCUCCCUGGCUCCA
rnacentral:tRNA from 1 species